AGAGAGGCCGGGAGCUCGGGCGGCCGGACGGAGGAGGGACGAGGCAGCGCGCGGGGGAGCGCGCCCUCGCCCUGGCCCCUCCGAGUCUUCGACUAGUCCUUGCAACUUCUUGGCGUGAUAAUCGGGAAAAGUUGGCCCGUGCCAGGUUUCCGACAGGGAUCAAACAGGAAAAUGCAUGGCACAUUAUUAAUGAGACUUGAGAAGGGGGCAUCUCUCUGUGAUCUGUCUGUCUACGGACCUCAUUCAUUCUCCUCUCUCUUCCACAAAGAGAACUCACAAAGGCCUGUGACCAGAGGGUGCUUAAAAUUUCAGAGACGAAUGUGAAUAUUACUUUCAAAUCUCCAACAGGAAACUAUGCCAAAGUCACAUCCAUCUUGAGAAGGCCUCAGAGGAGCUGUAAGGAAGCUGAGGGGACCUGCUCUCAAGAGGCAUCUCCAGGAGAGAGACAGAAACCCAAACAGAUGUGACUGUGAUGAGUAAAAAUGAGAGAACUCAGACAGCCUAAUCGGGAGCAGCCUCAGUCCAUUCUGAGCAGAAAGGAAUUGGCUGUCUUUCUGAAAUUCUGAAAAUGAGAAAUUUCAAAC
rnacentral:lncRNA from 10 species